rnacentral:rRNA from 1 species
UACGAAGGGGGCUAGCGUUGCUCGGAAUUACUGGGCGUAAAGCGUGCGCAGGCGGUUAUGUAAGACAGGUGUGAAAUCCCCGGGCUUAACCUGGGAACUGCAUUUGUGACUGCAUAGCUAGAGUACGGUAGAGGGGGAUGGAAUUCCGCGUGUAGCAGUGAAAUGCGUAGAUAUGCGGAGGAACACCGAUGGCGAAGGCAAUCCCCUGGACCUGUACUGACGCUCAUGCACGAAAGCGUGGGGAGCAAACAGG